rnacentral:rRNA from 1 species
UACGAAGGUCCCAAGCGUUAUCCGGAUUUAUUGGGUUUAAAGGGUGCGUAGGCGGGUUAUUAAGUCAGUGGUGAAAGCCUACAGCUUAACUGUAGAAUUGCCAUUGAUACUGAUGAUCUUGAGUAUGAUUGAGGUGGGCGGAAUGUGUCAUGUAGCGGUGAAAUGCUUAGAUAUGACACAGAAACACCGAUUGCGAAGGCAGCUUACUACACAAUUAUUGACGCUGAGGCACGAAAGCGUGGGGAUCAAACAGG